UGGUUCUACAGCAUUCCCUAGCUCUAGCUGCAGUCAUUUUAGACCCUGUUUACAGCUGGUAAUAAGACGCGUUUCGGAUGAUCCGAUCACAAAGAAGUGUGACAAGUCUGCAGAUGGACGUCUAGAACAUGAGGAGAUUGAGCUGAGAUUAAUGCUCUAUUUUUUUCCUAUUCUGGAAAGUCAUUCAAAGGCUUCACCAUAUCCUCUUAUUCUGUCUCUGGAGAACCACUGGUCUGUGGAGCAGCAGACGAUCCUGGCCCAGCAGCUGCGUUCCAUUCUGGGGGACAAACUGCUUACCAAACCUCUUAAUGAUAAGCCAUUGGAGUGCCUACCAUCACCAGAGGACCUUAAAUGAAAGAUUUUGCUAAAAGGAAAGAAGAAUAGAGUGGAGCAGGAUACCUCCAGCACUGACUCAAGCUCCUCAGAAGAUGAAUCUAAAGGCGAUAGCAAACCUAAAGUCCAAAAGAGUCCAGAGCUGUCUGAUCUGGUGUUGUACACCUGCGGCGUUUCCUUCCAAGGAUUUAAUCAAUCUGCCAAGAAUCCUCCCAAUGAGAUGAACUCUUUCUCUGAGAGUGGCGCAUCGAAACUUAUCAAAGAGUCAGGGAAGCUCUUUGUGCGUCACAACAGCAUGCAUUUGAGCAGAAUCUACCCAUUUGGUUGUCACGAACCCCGCUCCUCUGCUUCUCCCCGCAUCGUCUAGCACACACACGCACACUCCCUCACUCCGCCCCCUCGAGCUUUUCAUGCUCUUUUUGCUCGCUCGAGCCCUCAUGCCCACUUUGCUCCUACUCGCUCACAUGCUCGUAGGCAAUCUCCCUUCCUCGAGUUUCUCACGCGCUUCCAAUCCCCAGAACAUUAUGACCACCUGCACUCGCGUCAUCUGCACUCCUGCACAUUAGUUUCACCUGCACUCGUCUCAUCACCUGUCAUGGUUUACACCUGCACUCGCCCCAAUAUAUAUCACUACCCUUUCGUCUCACGGUUGUUGGUUAUUUUAUUUAGUUUCCCGUGUCUUUGCCCCCCGCUAGUCUCGUCUAGUUUUGAACUCCUCUUGUCUUCCUCUUAGCUUGCCAGCUCCCCUUGUUCCCCUGUCUUUUGCUCCCACUAGUCUCGUCAUUCUUAUAUCCUGUUUCCCCGGCUCUCGACCCUACACUUACCUCGACCAUUCUCCCUCUGGAUUUUCCCCACUGUACCUUCGUCUGCUCUUUAAAAAUAAAAGCAGUUUUGAUUUACAUUGUGACUGUCUCGUCUUGUGGGUGUGUGAGCGGGUUACAGAAUAACCAACCUCACCGUAGACAGUCACAAUGCCCCGCGCUAUGGAUUCGCGCAGCUCACUGGAGCGGAGAAGCACGUCACAUUCGGCGCGAGGAGCUACAGUGUGGAGAGAUGACCACGCGCUCACGGCCCAGGGGCAGCAGGUAUGCGCUAUUUCUGAUUUGUUUCACCCUAUUUCACCUGUGUCUGCCCCUGAGCCCGUUUAUGCCUCCAGUGCAUUUCUGAGCGCCGUGCACUCUCCACCCCCGGAGAGGUUUUAUGGCUCUUCGGACGCUGACCAAGGGUUUUUUAUGCGAGGCAGUGGUUGUGUAACUCAUAACACCGCCCUCGACAUUA